rnacentral:rRNA from 1 species
CUACGGGAGGCAGCAGUGGGGAAUAUUGGACAAUGGGCGCAAGCCUGAUCCAGCAAUGCCGCGUGGGUGAUGAAGGCCUUCGGGUUGUAAAGCCCUUUUGGCGGGGACGAUGAUGACGGUACCCGCCGAAUAAGCUCCGGCUAACUUCGUGCCAGCAGCCGCGGUAAUACGAAGGGAGCUAGCGUUGUUCGGAAUUACUGGGCGUAAAGGGCGCGUAGGCGGCUUCGAUAGUCAGGCGUGAAAUCCCCAGGCUCAACCUGGGAAUUGCGCUUGAUACUGCGAGGCUUGAGUGAGGGAGAGGAUAGUGGAAUUCCCAGUGUAGAGGUGAAAUUCGUAGAUAUUGGGAAGAACACCAGUGGCGAAGGGGGCUAUCUGGACCUCAACUGACGCUGAGGCGCGAAAGCGUGGGGAGCAAACAGGAUUAGAUACCCUGGUAGUCC